rnacentral:lncRNA from 1 species
AUCUGUUAGCUGUACUUGCUCACGACGGACACUUGGGACUCCUCCCUCCCUCCCUCUGACAACCACCCAUGGAUCCAAAACACUCCUCACCGCGGCCACCACCUCUAACCCGACCCGGUCCCGAAUCCCAGUAAUCUUGUUCCGGAUUCAGCUGAUAGACGCCAAGAACUGGGCUUCAAGUCCCAUCCGGGUGUGUGACCGACAACGAGGUAGGAGCAGGAUGUCAAGCAGGAACGAAGAAGUUUUGAAGCUUAAAAACAAGGUUUAUCAUUAUAUAUGAUUAUAUAUUAUUGAAUGCCAAGAGGAAACGCUGCGGCUGUUGCAGGAGAAACAGGGGUGGCCUGCCAAAUCUAAUCUUAUGGAAGAGACAAAAGAAAGAGCUGUAGCUGACUUGACAAGACAAUCGACCGAAACAUCUGAAUUUGACAAGGAACUCAUCGAUCUGUACAAGGCCUUGAAGCGUGAGGAGAAGUCUGAAACCAAUCUAAAAGAUAUUUUUGACGCGAUGCAAGCUUCGCAUGAGGAAUAUAGGAAAGCUAUGGAAAAAAAGCUGACAGAAGUAGAGUGUACGUUGGAUACUGUAGAUAAGAGAUUGUCAGUGACGCUAGA